ACGGAGGGUGCAAGCGUUGUUCGGAAUUACUGGGCGUAAAGAGCGUGUAGGCGGUUGAUUAAGUCAGUUGUGAAAGCCCUUGGCUCAACCAAGGAAGUGCAUCUGAAACUGACCGACUUGAGUACGGGAGAGGAGAGUGGAAUUCCUGGUGUAGAGGUGAAAUUCGUAGAUAUCAGGAGGAACACCGGUGGCGAAGGCGACUCUCUGGACCGAUACUGACGCUGAGACGCGAAAGCGUGGGGAGCAAACAG
rnacentral:rRNA from 1 species